rnacentral:rRNA from 1 species
GCAGUCGACGGCAGCACGGACUUCGGUCUGGUGGCGAGUGGCGAACGGGUGAGUAAUAUAUCGGAACGUGCCCAGUCGUGGGGGAUAACGUAGUGAAAAUUACGCUAAUACCGCAUACGAUCUAAGGAUGAAAGCGGGGGAUCGCAAGACCUCGCGCGAUUGGAGCGGCCGAUAUCAGAUUAGGUAGUUGGUGAGGUAAAGGCUCACCAAGCCAACGAUCUGUAGCUGGUCUGAGAGGACGACCAGCCACACUGGAACUGAGACACGGUCCAGACUCCUACGGGAGGCAGCAGUGGGGAAUUUUGGACAAUGGACGCAAGUCUGAUCCAGCCAUUCCGCGUGCAGGACGAAGGCCUUCGGGUUGUAAACUGCUUUUGUACAGAACGAAAAGGUCUCUAUUAAUACUGGGGGCUCAUGACGGUACUGUAAGAAUAAGCACCGGCUAACUACGUGCCAGCAGCCGCGGUAAUACGUAGGGUGCAAGCGUUAAUCGGAAUUACUGGGCGUAAAGCGUGCGCAGGCGGUUAUAUAAGACAGAUGUGAAAUCCCCGGGCUCAACCUGGGAACUGCAUUUGUGACUGUAUAGCUGGAGUGCGGCAGAGGGGGAUGGAAUUCCGCGUGUAGCAGUGAAAUGCGUAGAUAUGCGGAGGAACACCGAUGGCGAAGGCAAUCCCCUGGGCCUGCACUGACGCUCAUGCACGAAAGCGUGGGGAGCAACAGGAUAGAUACCUGGUAGUCACGCCCUAAC